GAUGAACGCUGGCGGCGUGCCUAAUACAUGCAAGUCGAGCGGUAACACUUCGGGUGACGAGCGGCGGACGGCAGAGUAACGCGUAGGGACGUACCCCAAACUGAGGGAUAACUCCGGGAAACCGGGGCUAAUACCGCAUGUGAUCUUCGGAUUAAAGCUUCGGCGGUUUGGGAACGGCCUGCGUAUGAUUAGCUUGUUGGCGAGGUAAAAGCUCACCAAGGCGACGAUCAUUAGCUGGUCUGAGAGGAUGAUCAGCCUGACUGGGACUGAGACACGGCCCAGACUCCUACGGGAGGCAGCAGUAGGGAAUUUUCCACAAUGGGGGCAACCCUGAUGGAGCAACGCCGCGUGCAGGAUGAAGGCCUUCGGGUUGUAAACUGCUUUUCUCUGUGACGAUUAUGACGGUAACAGAGGAAUAAGGGUCUGCUAACUACGUG
rnacentral:rRNA from 1 species